rnacentral:lncRNA from 10 species
CUUUGUACCUCUGGUAGAAUUCAGCUGUGAAUACGUCUGGUCCUGUGCUUGUUUUGAAGGUAAGGAGAAUGCAGGUUAACCAGUGGAAUUUCAGGAUCAAACCACCAUGAAAAGAAACCCAAGCUAGCCACAUGGGGAAGAAAAGAGGAAAAGAUCACUCCCUCUCAACCUUCCCCACUGGGGAACUAGACAUGUGAACAAAGCCAUCUGAUUACAACCUCACAGGAGACCCCAACUGAAACCAACCAAAGAACAGCCCAGCAGAGCCCCAGCCAACCAAAGAAUCAUGAACAAAUAAAGUGGUUACUGUUUUAAGCAGAUAUGUUUUGGGUUGGUUUGUUACACAGCAAGAGAUAAGCAAAAUGUGACAGCAUCUAAUAUGAAUACCUGCUUUAGAUAUGAAAAAGAAACCCUUAGAUAUGAAAAAGAAACCCUUAGGAUCAUAAACUCAAGAAGAAUUUUUUGUUUUUAUCUAGUCAGAUUGCUGAGGUCCUGGCUGUUUAGAUGACUUACAGAAAGAACUUGGGUAGUAGAGUCAAGAUAUGAAUAGUAACCCAGUUUUAUUACUAGAGAUUUGACUUCGUUGAGCAUCAGCUUUCUUGUGGGCGAGUUAGGUUUUAACAAUAGCUGCCUUGCAGGUGUUUUAUUUUUAAGCAUUAUGAAUGAUGGUGCCUCCAGUUCCAUAACAAGAUGAAGGCAUAUGCAGAUGUGAGUUAACAUUUUCAUUGGCUGGCCAUGUAUGUUGAAUCCCAAACAAGUGGUCUUCACUACACCUCACCACUCACAAAUCUACUUAUGAGUCUCAGAUGGUGAGCUAGAUGGUCAGUAAUACCCACCUCAGGAAAACUGCUUCUGAGUUUACAAGACAGCAGGCGGAACAGCUCAAAGACCAAUGCAUGCAUAAAUAGUCUUUCCUUUUUUUCACCAGGUCAACUACUCGAUUAUUUGCACUGGGGGCCUUUUUUCAAAGCAUCUGACCUUUUGGACUCGUCUGGUGAAAUCUAGUAUGUACUUAGGACCAGCCUUCAACACAAAGGAAGGUUUUUGUUACAUUCGUUUGCAUAUCCUGUCAAGGAUAUCUUCAGAACACUUUCAUUUCACAGUAAAAUGAAACUUACGGAAGAACUAAGCAGUGAAGUGCUUCAUACUUUCAUUUAAAAGGGGAAUGAGAAACAAAAGACAAGGUUAAUUAUGACACCGGGGCUUUACAAUGCUAAAAAUAUCCUAUAUACAAAGGGAUAUGUAGGCUGUGUUCUUUUUCCAUGUCAUUACAAAGAACAGGCUCAAGGUAUCUGCAAAUUUCUAAUAAAAAUAUUAUUACUUGAAAAAUGUCCAUGGUUGUAUCUAACUGAAGGGAUUAAAACUUUUAGACUUGUUAUACAAAUACCAUGAUACUUGUCAUCAAAGUCCUCCUUUUCAUCAAGCAGACCCUGACUUACAGCAUCUGAGAGUGGAAAAAACUAGCAUGAACCGUAAGGCAGUGGGAUUCAUACCUACCUCUCACUCACACGUUCAUCCAAACCAAGCAAGUUGCAUAAAGCAACCUGAGACUUUAUACUUCCACAUGCUGGCAACACAGCAUUAACUAGACUCGGGCAACUUGUUUAAGGGGUUUAUUUAGGUUCCUAUCAGUAAAGAGGUGUUUUUCCAGCUUUGGGAGAAUAUGUAUGAUGCCAAGUUUUUUUUUUUUUAAGUUUAAAUACUUUUAUAAGUUUAAUGUUGGCAUUGGAUGUUUACAUAUUAACUGGUACAAUUUACAUCGGUUUUAUACUUACCUAUUUUUGCAAAGAUGUCAUGUACACAAAGAUACAUAUUCAAUAACUGAGAAACAAGUGAAACUUCUGAUCUAUACUUUCAGGUUUGUUUCAUAAAGAUAUUUCUGAUAAG